GACCACAUGCGAAGAUCGAUCUUCGCAUGCAGCUGCUUAAAUAGACCGCAUGCGAAGAUCGAUCUUCGCAUGCUGCU
rnacentral:pre_miRNA from 11 species